UACGGCAUUAUCACGUUGAAACACAGGUUUCAUACGAUCACAGAAGUUAAGCAACGCUGAGCCUGGUCUGUACCUAGGUGGGUGACUGCUUUGGAAUAUCAGGUGCUGAAAG